UCAAGUAGGGUUUGUUUUUCUACCUCACUUAACGGCGUAAUAACAGGCAUCAGUUAAAAGACAUUUCACACAGUGAUAUUGCUGUUGACUACACCCAGAGAAUCUCCAGUGUCUGCUUUCUUCCUUCAAUAAUCUUUCUUUCCUCAGUACUCAUAUUAGAAAGGAAGGAAUAUACCAAGGUUGUUGAAAUGUAUAUGCUCCUGAAAAGUGUGCAUGAUGGAAAAUAAUUCUAGUUUGCCUAGAAAAAUUUUAAUUUCCUAAGUUGAGUAGAAUAGACUUGUGUCUUCAUUAAUGUGCUCAGAAUCUCUUUUUAUUGAGCUAAACUUUAACUGAACUUUACUGAAACUCUUAUGAGAGAAAACACUCUUAAAAACUAAUGAAAUUAACAGAUUAAUUUACUGUAAAUGUUAAACCAAACC
rnacentral:lncRNA from 1 species